CAGUCGAACGCAGUAGCAAUACUGAGUGGCAGACGGGUGAGUAACAUGUGGGAAUCUGCCUUGUGGUUCAGGACAACAUUGGGAAACCGAUGCUAAUACUGGAUAAGCCCUUACGGGGAAAGUUUUAAUGCCAUAAGAUGAGCCCGCAUUUGAUUAGUUAGUUGGUGAGGUAAUGGCUCACCAAGACAAUGAUCAAUAGCUGAUCUGAGAGGAUGAUCAGCCACACUGGGACUGAGACACGGCCCAGACUCCUACGGGAGGCAGCAGUGGGGAAUCUUGCACAAUGGAGGAAACUCUGGUGCAGCGAUGCCGCGUGAGUGAAGAAGGCCUUUGGGUUGUAAAGCUCUUUUGUAGGGGAAGAUAAUGACUGUACCCUAAGAAUAAGGUCCGGCUAACUUCGUGCCAGCAGCCGCGGUAAUACGAAGGGACCUAGCGUAGUUCGGAAUUACUGGGCGUAAAGCGCGCGUAGGCCGUUGAGUUAGUUAAUUGUGAAAUCCCAAAGCUUAACUUUGGAACUGCAAUUAAAACUGCUCGACUAGAGUUUGAUAGAGGAAAGCGGAAUACAUAGUGUAGAGGUGAAAUUCGUAGAUAUUAUGUAGAACACCAGUUGCGAAGGCGGCUUUCUGGAUCAACACUGACGCUGAGGCGCGAAAGUAUGGGUAGCAAAGAGGAUUAGAUACCCUCGUAGUCCAUACCAUAAACGAUGAUUGCUAGAUGUUGGAAAUUUAUUUUCAGUAUCGCAGCUAACGCAUUAAGCAAUCCGCCUGGGGAGUACGACCGCAAGGUUAAAACUCAAAUGAAUUGACGGG
rnacentral:rRNA from 1 species